UUCAAAGGGGAAAAUUUGUUAUUGUUGCUUAUUGAACAUGUGUGAUGAUACUUCAGAGGGUUGAUUGUAACAAUAGUCAACGUAAUUGGAUCAAUUAUAUGCAAUUACGUCGUGUAUAAAAUGUAAAAACAUAUUUCACCCAUAUAAUUGGAGUAAUUAUAUGAUCGUAAAAAGGUUAAAUAUAUAUGCACACCACCUGGCGAAAUUGUCAAAAAGAGAAUAAGAGCCCUGGGGGGUUGGAUAUCAUAUCUGAGAGCGCUAGGCCAACCAGAAUGCCUAAAAUCCCGUAUUCCCCGCUUUGCAAAAUCUAGACGAUUAAAAUAGAAGCGUCCGGUCACGUGGUCGAUAUAAGCCAAUAAAAACGUCAGUCAAAGAUUUUCACGAUCCCGAACCUGCCCGAAAUGCACUUUGUUGUAUUAUGCGGCCAGAAGGAAAAGAAAGGAACAGUCGAACAAGAAAUAAAUUAUAUAAUAUCAAAGAAGCAUAAAAAAACAGUUCUUUUAAGAACUAUUAAGAAGAAUAUAAACGUGGGCUUCCAACAUCUGGAUCACAUGGAACGUUGGCUGUAAGAGCUCUGAUUGCUCAUGAGCAAAAAGUAGAAGUAAAAGCCACUGCUGAACAUACAAUUUGCUUCUGCGUAACAUGCGAAAAGACAUUUGAUUCAGACGAAGAGCUGACUUGGAAUGUUUGGAAGGGUAAGUCGGUUUAAAAUAACUGAAACAAAUACCCUUUUUGGUUGGUUCGUUUUUAACGUAAUUUCGAACGUUUUCUUCUCCCUUUAAAAUUUGAACUGUACAUUCUAAUUUAAGUAGUUGUGGAUUAAAAUUUGCCAUACACUCAAUUAUAGUGCCGUAUUUUUCCUGCGCGCAGAAAUUGAGGUAACUUUUCUGAUUAGUUUGUUUACAUUUUUACCUCCAUUUCUGCGUGCGCAUCGGGCAUUACAUAAUCACUUAGAUGCGUGCGCAAGUAAAUAUCAGGACUGUGAUUCCAUGUAUUGGUAUUCCAUCUAAUCAUGUGCAAAAUUUGAUUGUUGUUUUAAAGAUGAGAAUAGAUUUCAGCUAUAAAAUGGCUACUGACCGGUUUUGAUUCUGCCCUGUAAAAUACAAAGCCAUUUGUCAGGGGCACAGACCUCACAAGCUUGGUCUGUACUUUUGAGCCAGGUUUUGUAUUUCACAGUACGUUAUCAAAACCGGUCAGUAUUUGUUUAUUAAUGAUUAGGCAGACGUCACAAAUAUUUGGUGUUAGAGUCACCCGACUGACACUAAUUUUUGAUCGAAAUUUUUGAUAUACUGAGUCGGAAAAACUAAAAUGACAAAAAAUAUUAUACGCUUGUUGUCUCUCCACAGCGAUUGCAGCGAUUGUUGUGCUUCGCUUUAAAAUGUGAAAAGUGUUCACGCGGAAACUGCCGGAGAUGCCAAAGUUAUCAUUAAAUAUCGGCGAUUUAAUGGCGCGCGUUAAUGGCUGGAUGGUUGGAUAAAAUUUUUUGAAAUUUUGAGUUAUCAUUCGCCGAUCUACCGACCGACUCUAUUUUUGGUGCUCAAAUGACUCUAACACCCGAUAUUUGUGACGUCCGCCUUAUGUAAUUUGGAUGCCAGCUAUCGUUCAAAGUGUUUCCACUCUUUGAAGGCUUGAAAUGCAUAAAGAACUGUCAAUUCUGAAUUCCAGCUUGUAUUGAGGCUUUCGGUGGUAAAGUAGCUGUAUAUUUAUUUUUACUAUAAAGCCAAUGUUUAGCUAGCUACUAAUAAAAAGCCUGUAAUUAGUAAGUUAAAAAGAACACCCACUGUGCUGAAUGAUAAAAGAUAAAUGGGCUGUGGUAUUUCUUUUGAAUAAACUUCACUUCUUUUAUUCUGAACUUCUGGUAACCAAUUAAACCGGGGCUAUGGUAACAUUCAGAUUCACUCACCCAUGUUGAAUCUCCAUCAAGAGGAAUCGAGCCCCGGUCAGAGUACGAGAGCUAUAACCACUAAUCUACGGCCCCACAAGUAACCUCGAGAUUUCCUCCUUUACACAAACCAGGGUUUCAAAUAACCUGGAAAAUACUUAAACUUGAAGUAUAGACCUAUAUUUUGAAAUUUUAACCCCCCCUGACGGUUUUUUUUUAAUAACUCCUGAUUGCUUUGUUAUAUGGCUAUGAUACUUACUGAGUUUUAACAUUUAUCUAUUAGACACCUGCAUGCUAAUUUUUUAGGUCCCAUACCUUUCAGAGGCUUUGAUAUUGGCCAUUACUCGAAACUACCCCUAAAAAUCUCUAUGAAAUCCUUAUAAUGGGGAAAAUAUAAUAACUCCUGUUAGGAUUAUCCUUAGAACUUGAAACUUGCAACACAACUUUGUUUUAUCAAGAAGAAUCAUUUGGAAUAAUUUGAACACGUGACUAAUUCGAUUUCCCGAUUUUGUCGGAUUUUACCCGAAAAUCGGAAAAAACGGAUUUUCUGGAAAUUUUUGGCAAUUUUUUAUCCGAUCCAUGUAAAAACCGGAAGAUAUGUUAAAUAACUUUUAUUUAGCUUUCAGAAACUUCAAACAGAAUGUAAAAAUUCGCUCUAGAACAAAAGUACUUUCUAUGGCUGAACUUCAAUUUUUCCUUUCCCAGCGUGGGCUUCCAACAUCUGGAUCACAUGGAACGUUGGCUGUAAGAGCUCUGAUUGCUCAUGAGCAAAAAGUAGAAGUAAAAGCCACUGCUGAACAUACAAUUUGCUUCUGCGUAACAUGCGAAAAGACAUUUGAUUCAGACGAAGAGCUGACUUGGAAUGUUUGGAAGGGUAAGUCGGUUUAAAAUAACUGAAACAAAUACCCUUUUUGGUUGGUUCGUUUUUAACGUAAUUUCGAACGUUUUCUUCUCCCUUUAAAAUUUGAACUGUACAUUCUAAUUUAAGUAGUUGUGGAUUAAAAUUUGCCAUACACUCAAUUAUAGUGCCGUAUUUUUCCUGCGCGCAGAAAUUGAGGUAACUUUUCUGAUUAGUUUGUUUACAUUUUUACCUCCAUUUCUGCGUGCGCAUCGGGCAUUACAUAAUCACUUAGAUGCGUGCGCAAGUAAAUAUCAGGACUGUGAUUCCAUGUAUUGGUAUUCCAUCUAAUCAUGUGCAAAAUUUGAUUGUUGUUUUAAAGAUGAGAAUAGAUUUCAGCUAUAAAAUGGCUACUGACCGGUUUUGAUUCUGCCCUGUAAAAUACAAAGCCAUUUGUCAGGGGCACAGACCUCACAAGCUUGGUCUGUACUUUUGAGCCAGGUUUUGUAUUUCACAGUACGUUAUCAAAACCGGUCAGUAUUUGUUUAUUAAUGAUUAGGCAGACGUCACAAAUAUUUGGUGUUAGAGUCACCCGACUGACCCUAAUUUUUGAUCGAAAUUUUUGAUAUACUGAGUCGGAAAAACUAAAAUGACAAAAAAUAUUAUACGCUUGUUGUCUCUCCACAGCGAUUGCAGCGAUUGUUGUGCUUCGCUUUAAAAUGUGAAAAGUGUUCACGCGGAAACUGCCGGAGAUGCCAAAGUUAUCAUUAAAUAUCGGCGAUUUAAUGGCGCGCGUUAAUGGCUGGAUGGUUGGAUAAAAUUUUUUGAAAUUUUGAGUUAUCAUUCGCCGAUCUACCGACCGACUCUAUUUUUGGUGCUCAAAUGACUCUAACACCCGAUAUUUGUGACGUCCGCCUUAUGUAAUUUGGAUGCCAGCUAUCGUUCAAAGUGUUUCCACUCUUUGAAGGCUUGAAAUGCAUAAAGAACUGUCAAUUCUGAAUUCCAGCUUGUAUUGAGGCUUUCGGUGGUAAAGUAGCUGUAUAUUUAUUUUUACUAUAAAGCCAAUGUUUAGCUAGCUACUAAUAAAAAGCCUGUAAUUAGUAAGUUAAAAAGAACACCCACUGUGCUGAAUGAUAAAAGAUAAAUGGGCUGUGGUAUUUCUUUUGAAUAAACUUCACUUCUUUUAUUCUGAACUUCUGGUAACCAAUUAAACCGGGGCUAUGGUAACAUUCAGAUUCACUCACCCAUGUUGAAUCUCCAUCAAGAGGAAUCGAGCCCCGGUCAGAGUACGAGAGCUAUAACCACUAAUCUACGGCCCCACAAGUAACCUCGAGAUUUCCUCCUUUACACAAACCAGGGUUUCAAAUAACCUGGAAAAUACUUAAACUUGAAGUAUAGACCUAUAUUUUGAAAUUUUAACCCCCCCUGACGGUUUUUUUUUAAUAACUCCUGAUUGCUUUGUUAUAUGGCUAUGAUACUUACUGAGUUUUAACAUUUAUCUAUUAGACACCUGCAUGCUAAUUUUUUAGGUCCCAUACCUUUCAGAGGCUUUGAUAUUGGCCAUUACUCGAAACUACCCCUAAAAAUCUCUAUGAAAUCCUUAUAAUGGGGAAAAUAUAAUAACUCCUGUUAGGAUUAUCCUUAGAACUUGAAACUUGCAACACAACUUUGUUUUAUCAAGAAGAAUCAUUUGGAAUAAUUUGAACACGUGACUAAUUCGAUUUCCCGAUUUUGUCGGAUUUUACCCGAAAAUCGGAAAAAACGGAUUUUCUGGAAAUUUUUGGCAAUUUUUUAUCCGAUCCAUGUAAAAACCGGAAGAUAUGUUAAAUAACUUUUAUUUAGCUUUCAGAAACUUCAAACAGAAUGUAAAAAUUCGCUCUAGAACAAAAGUAAUUAUAUUUCAAGCAGAUAGUGGCAUUUUAAAAUCGGAAUCCGCCCCCCCCCAGUCAUAGUUUGUGCGAAAAACCCCGGACCGAAUAGGGUUAAAACAGAUGAUCAUUCCAAUUUAUUUUUAAAAAAAUUAUAAUUUGUUAGGAUUUGUGCGUUUAAUGUUUACAAAAUCAAGAUUUUUAAUUUUAAAAAUGUUACCACAAGAUUUUUAGUUCCGUAAAUUCUCAGUGAUCUGCUGUUAUAGGACCAAAAAAUAACUUUUUGAGGAAAAUGAUGAUAAUAGGUAUAAUUUACAUAUAAAAAUUGAUUCUUUCCAGUAUACAAUUUCUGGCAACAAUAACUUGCGCUGUUGAUUGUCAUAAUACUUAUUACUGCCAUUCAUUGGAAAGCCAUGCUAUUAAUAGUACACAUUAACUGUGGAAAUUUCCUAUUAAAAAGUUUAAAUUGGUGUUUUUUUUUUCAAUUAUCUGCUGAAUAAUAAUUUUAUAAAAAGAUUAAAAAAUAAUUUUUUGAGGAAAACGUUAGUUUUUAAAAUCUGAUGUGGUGGAAAAGUAGGCCAGGGUUGAUUUUUUAUAUAAAGAGAAUAUUUUUUUAAAUAUAAUUUCCACCAACAUGAAAUGCAGCUAAUUCCAUACUGAAUACAUGUUCUGAAAGAGCUGGCACAUUUAUAUUUAUUUUUGAAAAAAAGAGACAGUGUACGUCAUCUAUUCAAAGAUAUCUGAGUUAAGCAUAUAAUUAUAUUUCUGUAGCCUGAGCUAGAUUGAAUUUUGUUAAUUAUUUUGAGUAAGCUUAUUUUUUAAAGAAAGACAAAUAGUGCUGUGUGUUCACUUAGUAGUAGGAAUACUUUUUGCCACUUGAAAUACAAUUGAUCUGAAGAUAUUUUUUGUCUUGUAUGAAAGAAAUUUGGACAAUACUUUAAGGCAAAAACUUCUAUUGUUCUUUGCUCACGUGAUCAUUAUUGGGAAAUCUUUUCUUCUUUAAUGUUAGAUGUGGCCAUGCUGGCUUUAUGCAUAUUGGUUGAUUUUAAUUCGGGUUGCACUGAAAAAUUAUUAUAUAAAAAACUCAAUUUUAAUAUCUCAAAGAAAACUUAGUUAAAGGAGCACUCCAGUGAAAAAAAAAUAUUUAAAAAAAAAUGUUAUAUAAAACAUAGAAUCGGAUAAUUCUCUUCAUGAGAAAGACUUUACAAAGCUACAGCCACUCGACUUCGAACCUCUUCUGUCUCACAAGGGAGAAAUUAAUAAUGAUGCAAAGUGAUGAGGUGUCUUUUACUGGCUCAAGCAACGUUCUUAGCAAAAUAUUUAUUUUUUUUAAGAAAUAAAUAUACUUAAUCGCUUUUUUUAACAUUCUUUUCGUCAAAAAACUUUAUCAUUUGCUUCAUUAAAAAAUCUUUUAUACUUUACAAGCCAAUUUAUUUUUUUUUACAGUUCAGCAAUAUUUUUCCUCUGCACGCGCUUUUUUUGCGCACAAAUGUAAACAAAUUUUAUGUAACGUUAAAAUUUUCUCCGUGAUGGAGUACCAUUGAAAUGCGUGAUAUAAAAUCAAAUAUGUUCGGGCUAGAUAAGUUGGUAAAACGGGGUAUUAUUAUUGUAUAAAUAAAAAUCAAUCUUAUGAUUAUGGUAAGUCAUAAAUGUGUUGCAGAAGCUACUGACUUACAAGUGGUUGUUUUGACAAAGCUGUUUUAGAAACUGCAUUAUCAGCAUUACAUGCAGCCAUUAUAAAGUUACAAAGAUUGAAGAAAA